rfam:Schistosoma mattheei strain Denwood, Zambia genome assembly, scaffold: SMTD_scaffold0012950
AUCCAGCUGACAAGUCACAAAUAAGACGAAACGCGCGUCCUGGAU